rnacentral:lncRNA from 1 species
GUCACGUUAAGUGAAACCUACAUUAUUCGAUACUAUUCUUGAUGAGUGUUAAAAUUUUGAAAGCAUAAGCUUAAUAUUUCUUUUGAGGAGAUUCCUAAUUAGUUUGAUCUCACUGGCUUAUUUAUCAUAUAAAAUGUCUCUUACAUGCAUCAACAUACAUACACAUGCAUAAACAUACAUAUAAAAUGAAACAUUUAUAGUCCCUAGCAUAAUUAUUCUCUCGAUCCAAUGAGGAAACCUAAGCUAAACCUAAUAAGAUUUACGUUUCUCCAAUCUAGAUCUCCAUGGUUUUACUUAUAUGAUGUUGUCUUCUUUUUUUCUUCGUUUCAUUACAUUACAUCAAAGAAUACUUCUUUUACAUACGAGGGUGUGAGAUGAGGAAAAAAGUUACAUCACGAAUAGAGUGUGCCUUCAAUCUCAGUGCUAGCUGCUACAAAUCAAAACUUUGAAUGUGUAUGUGUGUGUGUGUGUGUAUGUAUGUGUGUUUGUGUGUGUGUUUGUGAUAGAUAUAUAGAUAGAUAGAUAGAUAGAUAGAUAGAUA